CCCUUAGAUGUCCUGGGCCGCACGCGCGCUACACUGAGUGUCUGAGAUACGAGUCUGCCUGGUCCGGCAAGGUCUAGGUAAUCGCUAAAAGACACAUCAUGCUUGGGAUAGAUUAUUGCAAAUAUUAAUCUUGAACGAGGAAUUCCUAGUAAGCGCAAGUCAACAGCUUGCGUUGAUUACGUCCCUGCCCUUUGUACACACCGCCCGUCGCUACUACUGAUUGGAUGUUUAAGCGAGGUUCUCGAACUGCUAGCGGCUUAGCUUCGGUGAGGUCGCAGUGUGGGAAGUGAACCUAGCUUUGGUGUCUAGAGGAAGUAAAAGGCGUAACA
rnacentral:rRNA from 1 species